GAAAGCCCGGGGCUCAACCCCGGAACUGCAUGGGAUACUGCCUGGCUUGAGCGUGCGAGAGGAAACCGGCAUUCCAGGUGUAACGGUGAAAUGCGUAGAUAUCUGGAGGAACACCGUUGUCGAAAGCGGCUUUAUGGCGCAUAACUGACGCUGAGGCUCGAAAGCAUGGGGACCGAACGGGAUUAGAUACCCCGGUAGUCCACGCCGUAAAUGUUGUGCACUAGGUGUGGGAGGUAUCGACCCCUUCCAUGCCGGAGCUAAAGCAUUAAGUGCAACGCCUGGGGAGUACGGUCGCAAGACAGACACUCAAAGGAAUUGACGGGGGCCCGCACAAACGCUGGAGCAUGUGGUAUAAUUCGAGACAACGCGAAGAACCUUACCCAGGCGGGACAUACCGAGACCGCCAUGGAUACAUAGUUUCCCACUCGGGGGAUCGGUGACAGGUGUUGCAUGGCUGUUGUCAGCUCGUGUCGUGAGAUGUUGGGUUAACUCUCGCAACGAGCGCAACCCCUGUCCCUAGUUACCAGCGGUUCGCCCGGGCACUCUAGGGAGACUGUCGGUGAUAAUCGGAGGAAGGUGGGCACUACGUCAAGUCAUCACGGCCUUUAUGCCUGGGGAGACACACGUGCUACAAUGACCGGUACAAAGAGCUGCAAAGCUGACGAGAUGGAGCCAAUCUCAAAAAGCCGGUCUCAGUUCAGAUUGGAGUCUGCAACUCGGCCUCCAUGAAGAUCGCACUCGCCUAGUAAUCGCUUAUCAGCCAUUACCCGCUGAUACGUUCCCG
rnacentral:rRNA from 1 species